rnacentral:rRNA from 1 species
UAAUACAGAGGGUGCAAGCGUUAAUCGGAAUUACUGGGCGUAAAGCGCGCGUAGGUGGUUUGUUAAGUUGGAUGUGAAAUCCCCGGGCUCAACCUGGGAACUGCAUUCAAAACUGACUGACUAGAGUAUGGUAGAGGGUGGUGGAAUUUCCUGUGUAGCGGUGAAAUGCGUAGAUAUAGGAAGGAACACCAGUGGCGAAGGCGACCACCUGGACUGAUACUGACACUGAGGUGCGAAAGCGUGGGGAGCAAACAGGAUUA